rnacentral:rRNA from 1 species
CUACGGGGGGCUGCAGUAGGGAAUCUUAGACAAUGGGGGAAACCCUGAUCUAGCCAUGCCGCGUGAGCGAUGAAGGCCUUAGGGUUGUAAAGCUCUUUCGCUGGGGAAGAUAAUGACGGUACCCAGUAAAGAAACCCCGGCUAACUCCGUGCCAGCAGCCGCGGUAAUACGGAGGGGGUUAGCGUUGUUCGGAAUUACUGGGCGUAAAGCGCGCGUAGGCGGGCUAUUAAGUCAGGGGUGAAAUCCCGGGGCUCAACCCCGGAACUGCCUUUGAUACUGGUAGUCUUGAGUUCGAGAGAGGUGAGUGGAAUUCCGAGUGUAGAGGUGAAAUUCGUAGAUAUUCGGAGGAACAUCAGUGGCGAAGGCGACUCACUGGCUCGAUACUGACGCUGAGGUGCGAAAGCGUGGGGAGCAAACAGGAUUAGAUACCCUUGUAGUC